rnacentral:lncRNA from 1 species
GCCACUCAGUGGCAGGGCCAGGACUAGAACCCAGGCCGCCUCUCUAGGACCAGCGUUCUGGACCACCCAGCUAAUGCUGGGAUCCAGGUAUUUCACCUCCUCAGUCGGCUGUUAGGAUGACACCAGGACAACCUUGGAAUCACAAGAUGGUAGAAGAGCCUAGGUAGAAAGACAGAAGGGGUCUGUGUCUCAGGGCAA